rnacentral:rRNA from 1 species
UUGUAUAAUGGGUCAGCGACUUAUAUUCUGUAGCAAGGUUAACCGAAUAGGGGAGCCGAAGGGAAACCGAGUCUUAACUGGGCGUUAAGUUGCAGGGUAUAGACCCGAAACCCGGUGAUCUAGCCAUGGGCAGGUUGAAGGUUGGGUAACACUAACUGGAGGACCGAACCGACUAAUGUUGAAAAAUUAGCGGAUGACUUGUGGCUGGGGGUGAAAGGCCAAUCAAACCGGGAGAUAGCUGGUUCUCCCCGAAAGCUAUUUAGGUAGCGCCUCGUGAAUUCAUCUUCGGGGGUAGAGCACUGUUUCGGCUAGGGGGUCAUCCCGACUUACCAACCCGAUGCAAACUGCGAAUACCGAAGAAUGUUAUCACGGGAGACACACGGCGGGUGCUAACGUCCGUCGUGAAGAGGGAAACAACCCAGACCGCCAGCUAAGGUCCCAAAGUCAUGGUUAAGUGGGAAACGAUGUGGGAAGGCACAGACAGCCAGGAUGUUGGCUUAGAAGCAGCCAUCAUUUAAAGAAAGCGUAAUAGCUCACUGGUCGAGUCGGCCUGCGCGGAAGAUGUAACGGGGCUAAACCAUGCACCGAAGCUGCGGCAGCGACACUAUGUGUUGUUGGGUAGGGGAGCGUUCUGUAAGCCGUUGAAGGUGUACUGUGAGGUAUGCUGGAGGUAUCAGAAGUGCGAAUGCUGACAUAAGUAACGAUAAUGCGGGUGAAAAACCCGCACGCCGGAAGACCAAGGGUUCCUGUCCAACGUUAAUCGGGGCAGGGUGAGUCGACCCCUAAGGCGAGGCCGAAAGGCGUAGUCGAUGGGAAACAGGUUAAUAUUCCUGUACUUGGUGUUACUGCGAAGGGGGGACGGAGAAGGCUAUGUUAGCCGGGCGACGGUUGUCCCGGUUUAAGCAUGUAGGCGGGAAGUUUAGGUAAAUCCGGACUUCUUUUAACGCUGAGGUGUGAUGACGAGGCACUACGGUGCUGAAGUAACAAAUGCCCUGCUUCCAGGAAAAGCCUCUAAGCAUCAGGUAACACGAAAUCGUACCCCAAACCGACACAGGUGGUCAGGUAGAGAAUACCAAGGCGCUUGAGAGAACUCGGGUGAAGGAACUAGGCAAAAUGGUGCCGUAACUUCGGGAGAAGGCACGCUGAUAUGUAGGUGAAGUGAUUUACUCAUGGAGCUGAAAUCAGUCGAAGAUACCAGCUGGCUGCAACUGUUUAUUAAAAACACAGCACUGUGCAAACACGAAAGUGGACGUAUACGGUGUGACGCCUGCCCGGUGCCGGAAGGUUAAUUGAUGGGGUUAUCCGUAAGGAGAAGCUCUUGAUCGAAGCCCCGGUAAACGGCGGCCGUAACUAUAACGGUCCUAAGGUAGCGAAAUUCCUUGUCGGGUAAGUUCCGACCUGCACGAAUGGCGUAAUGAUGGCCAGGCUGUCUCCACCCGAGACUCAGUGAAAUUGAACUCGCUGUGAAGAUGCAGUGUACCCGCGGCAAGACGGAAAGACCCCGUGAACCUUUACUAUAGCUUGACACUGAACACUGGUCCUUGAUGUGUAGGAUAGGUGGGAGGCUUUGAAGUGUGGACGCCAGUCUGCAUGGAGCCAUCCUUGAAAUACCACCCUUUAAUGGCUGGUGUUCUAACGUAGACCCGUAAUCCGGGUUGCGGACAGUGUCUGGUGGGUAGUUUGACUGGGGCGGUCUCCUCCUAAAGAGUAACGGAGGAGCACGAAGGUUAGCUAAUCCUGGUCGGACAUCAGGAGGUUAGUGCAAAGGCAUAAGCUAGCUUGACUGCGAGAGUGACGGCUCGAGCAGGUGCGAAAGCAGGUCUUAGUGAUCCGGUGGUUCUGAAUGGAAGGGCCAUCGCUCAACGGAUAAAAGGUACUCCGGGGAUAACAGGCUGAUACCGCCCAAGAGUUCAUAUCGACGGCGGUGUUUGGCACCUCGAUGUCGGCUCAUCACAUCCUGGGGCUGAAGUAGGUCCCAAGGGUAUGGCUGUUCGCCAUUUAAAGUGGUACGCGAGCUGGGUUUAGAACGUCGUGAGACAGUUCGGUCCCUAUCUGCCGUGGGCGCUGGAGAAUUGAGGGGGGCUGCUCCUAGUACGAGAGGACCGGAGUGGACGCAUCACUGGUGUUCGGGUUGUCAUGCCAAUGGCAUUGCCCGGUAGCUAAAUGCGGAAGAGAUAAGUGCUGAAAGCAUCUAAGCACGAAACUUGC